rnacentral:rRNA from 1 species
AUACGGAGGAUGCGAGCGUUAUCCGGAUUUAUUGGGUUUAAAGGGUGCGUAGGCUGUGCGUUAAGUCAGGGGUGAAAUGCCGUCGCUCAACGACGGAGCUGCCCUUGAUACUGGCGUGCUGGAGUACGGAUGCCGUUGGAGGAAUGAGUGGUGUAGCGGUGAAAUGCUUAGAUAUCACUCAGAACACCGAUUGCGAAGGCAUCUGACGAAUCCGUCACUGACGCUGAGGCACGAAAGCGGGGAGAUAGAACAGGAUUAGAUGCCCUGGUAUUCCACGCCGUAAAGGAUGAUGGCGAAGCGGCGGCGAUAGACAGCCGGUGGCCAAGCGAAAGCGAUAAGUCAUCCACCUGGGGAGUACGGCGGCAACGAUGAAACUCAAAUGGAUUGACGGGG